GGAUAUGGUGUAAUGGCUAACAUUGCCGCCUCUCAUAAACAACAAGGCAGGCGACUGGAGUGCGCGGCAGCUCGGGGUUCGAUUCCCCGACGAAUCCC